rnacentral:miRNA from 1 species
AUCUAUCUAUCUAUCUAUCUAUCUAUCUAUCUAUCUAUCUAGAUAUAUAGAUAGAUAGAUAGAUAGAUAGAUAGAUAGAU